rnacentral:rRNA from 1 species
UAAUACAGAGGGUGCAAGCGUUAAUCGGAAUUACUGGGCGUAAAGCGUGCGUAGACGGUUAUGUAAGUCAGGUGUGAAAGCCCCGGGCUCAACCUGGGAAUUGCAUUUGAGACUGCAUAGCUAGGGUGCGGAAGAGGGAAGCGGAAUUUCCGGUGUAGCGGUGAAAUGCGUAGAUAUCGGAAGGAACACCA